ACCUCAAAAUCCCGUCUGACCUAGGGUCUUUCUCCGGCUUCUCUCAAGCUGGUGGGGCAUGCGGUUCCCACGCCGGGCUGUUCUUGCCUCCCCACUGAGCUGGUUGUAAGGGCUAGCAGCUCCCUGCUGAUGCCUCCCGCCACUGUACCUGGAUUCCCUGGUAGAGCUACAGUGUUGCUCCCGGAUGUCUCUUGGCUCCUCAGGCUUGGGCUUCCUCCCUGCCCUGCCAGAGCCCUCCGGUUGCUGCUCUACUCUCCUUCUCCCAUCUUCAGCCUGGCGAUCCUCCUCCCUGCAGCAGACAUCUCCUGGCCGGCAUCCUGUUUUUCCUCCACCAGCUGCUCAGCUGUCCUUCUGUCUGCUAUUUGAGCAGCCCACGUCUCUUCAAGGCUCCACCCCAUUCCUUGCCUAUCCAAAGCUACAGGUGGCUCCAGACUCACGGAGCUUGCGUCUGUGAUUCUUCCCAGCUGCCAUUCAUUUGGAUCCCAAGCUAAUCUUCUGGUGAACGGAUCCACGCCUUGAGAAGCUGACAAGACACAGACCACCUCUUUGCCUGUAUUGACUGAAGCCACCUAAGCGCCGUGUGAUCUGUGACCAGGAUGAAAGGCCUCCCCAACAAGUAAUAAUGGAAAAGAUCUACUGCCCAUUCAAUAGCCAAGCAUUCAUGUUCUAUGAUAGAAUAUUUCCGCUCAUGUUCUAAUAACUCAUGGCUUGCAUAUGUAAUCGGGUGCUCUGUUCCUUCUUUUUCCUCUGUUAAUACAGCCCCCAC